rnacentral:pre_miRNA from 1 species
UUACUACUCCCUCCGUCCGAAAAUACUUGUCAUCAAAAUGAACAAAAAGGGAUGUAUCUAGAACUAAAAUACAUCUAGAUACAUCCCCUUUUAUUCAUUUUGAUGACAAGUAUUUCCGGACGGAGGGAGUAUGUA